GCAGGUUAAGAUCCUCUCUGGUGGAGAAACCGGAGAACAAUGAGAGCAGCAGACAUGACCAGGGUUGUUCCCAGAGACAGCCCAGGCCUCAGAGCUGUGAGCCUAACAAGGGCUUAUUCCAGCAUCCUCUUUCCACUAGACUUCUUCAUAACCAUUGCUCCUUCUUUUUAGUUCUAUGACUCAUGGAUUUUCAACAUGCUUGAAUAUGCCAAAGACUCCAUUGAUCUAAAUGAGUGAGAGAAGCCAUGCUGUGCAAACAGAGAGCUCUGUCACCAGCAGUCGUGUUCACUGGAAAACUGCCCUCUCCCUCCUGCUUGGCAUCUGUUUGUCCUUCAGGAAGUCUGAGUGGCUGGGAAUGAGUGAAAGGUCCCCCACAACAGAGGAUCCAGUUGUGCUUCCUGGCAUUUUCAUAUUCCUUGUCUUUUCCCAUAGCCACCAGCACAUGGGAUACGCAGGAAUGUUAUCAUUCACUGAAAAUUUAAGGAAGCAGAGCUGGCAGCAGUGCAGCCCUUCCUAAGAGUGGCCAGGAAGACAGCAAGCAUUGCUGCUCUCUGAAGCCUUCAGGGUGGAGCCCUGGACAUCCCCUUCAUUGCUAAUAGGAAUCAAGUUGGUAAUGCCCCUUAGGAAAAAAACUCAUUCAGAUAUUUUCUAUAAUUAUAUUAUGAUGAGACUCAAAACCUCGUUCCAAAAUACUUAUGGAUGAGAAAGUAUAACCAUGUUCACAUAGAAAUCUAUUAAUGGACAUAUUAGUUUCUUUCCUACCAUGUGAUAAAAUGCCAGGACCAAUUCACAAAAGAAAGGGUUUAUUUUGGUGCAUAGUGCCAAAAGGUGAGAGUUUGUGAUGGUGGGACAGCAUGGCAGCAGGUGGCAGACAUGGCAGCUGGAGCUAGCUGCUGGGACGUGAUGGCUCACAUAUCUAACUGCAAGCAGGAAUCAAAGAGAGCAAACUGGGGCUCUCUUUGGAUGAGGCCUGUACUUCUGAAAGCCCACUACAACUGCAUACUUCCUCCAGUGAGGCCACCUAAACGUGCCAAAAACAGUGCCAGGCAUCUGGGGGCCAACUAUUCAAAUAUCUGAGCCUGUGGAAGACAUAUUCAAUCAAGGCACAACAAUGGUUAUUCUGGAUUUCCAAAAUGGCAGUGUCCUCCCACUGAUAGGUUGGUAAACAAGCUCUAGUACAUCUGAACAGCAUAAAAAGGAAGGAACUGUUGACUUGUAGCACAAAAUGUUUCCUCUCAAAAUAUCACCCUGAGUAAAUGAGACCAGGCCACAGACACCUUGUGAUUCUUGGUAAAAUAUAACAAAUCAGUAAUGGUCAGGAACAGACCAUGUAAGAAAAACAGGUACCAGGAAGAGCAGAAGCUAUUGGGGAGAACAAUGACAGAGCUAUGAAUCUUGGCUCUAGUGAUAAUUACAUUUAAAAUGUCUCAUAACUCCACAGAAAGGGUGAAUUUCAUUUUAUGUAAAGUAUGCCUCAAUAUGAAAACAACAACUUCCCAAUUAAACACUAAAACAGCAUAA